rnacentral:rRNA from 1 species
AGUGAACGCUGGCGGUAGGCCUAACACAUGCAAGUCGAACGGCAGCACAGUAAGAGCUUGCUCUUACGGGUGGCGAGUGGCGGACGGGUGAGGAAUACAUCGGAAUCUACUUUUUCGUGGGGGAUAACGUAGGGAAACUUACGCUAAUACCGCAUACGACCUACGGGUGAAAGCAGGGGGUCUUCGGACCUUGCGCGAUUGAAUGAGCCGAUGUCGGAUUAGCUAGUUGGCGGGGUAAAGGCCCACCAAGGCGACGAUCCGUAGCUGGUCUGAGAGGAUGAUCAGCCACACUGGAACUGAGACACGGUCCAGACUCCUACGGGAGGCAGCAGUGGGGAAUAUUGGACAAUGGGCGCAAGCCUGAUCCAGCCAUACCGCGUGGGUGAAGAAGGCCUUCGGGUUGUAAAGCCCUUUUGUUGGGAAAGAAAAGCAGCAGGUUAAUACCCCGCUGUUCUGACGGUACCCAAAGAGUAAGCACCGGCUAACUUCGUG